CUGAAUGUGCUGGGUUGUGACUGAAUUCCACCUGAAAAUGCUGACAAUCUGGAAGUACCCUCACACCCAAGCUGGUGAAAAAAAAGAAAGCGAAAGGUGUUAGUGUUAAUUAUUUCAGCUUGCAAAAGGCGGGGGGAACCUUAUCUAAAAACACCAUAAUGAUUCAUUACUUUAGCACAACCACAAUCUAUUAUGUUACAGAGCAUUCCUAUGCAUGUUUACUUGAAAGUUAGUCUCAAAUAACUCAACGAGUUU